GGGGGCAACCCUGGGCGGCGAGCGGCGAACGGGUGAGUAAUGCAUCGGAACGUGUCCUCUUGUGGGGGAUAACCAGUCGAAAGAUUGGCUAAUACCGCAUGAGAUCGAGAGAUGAAAGCAGGGGACCGCAAGGCCUUGCGCGAGAGGAGCGGCCGAUGCCGGAUUAGCUAGUUGGUGGGGUAAAAGCCUACCAAGGCGACGAUCCGUAGCUGGUCUGAGAGGACGACCAGCCACACUGGGACUGAGACACGGCCCAGACUCCUACGGGAGGCAGCAGUGGGGAAUUUUGGACAAUGGGGGCAACCCUGAUCCAGCCAUGCCGCGUGUGUGAAGAAGGCCUUCGGGUUGUAAAGCACUUUCGGACGGAACGAAAUCGCGCGAUCUAAUAAGUCGCGUGGAUGACGGUACCGUAAGAAGAAGCACCGGCUAACUACGUGCCAGCAGCCGCGGUAAUACGUAGGGUGCGAGCGUUA
rnacentral:rRNA from 1 species